rnacentral:rRNA from 1 species
UACGAAGGGGGGCUAGCGUUGCUCGGAAUCACUGGGCGUAAAGGGUGCGUAGGCGGGUCUUUUAAGUCAGGGGUGAAAUCCUGGAGCUCAACUCCAGAACUGCCUUUGAUACUGAGGAUCUUGAGUACGGGAGAGGUGAGUGGAACUGCGAGUGUAGAGGUGAAAUUCGUAGAUAUUCGCAAGAACACCAGUGGCGAAGGCGGCUCACUGGCCCGUAACUGACGCUGAGGCGCGACAGCGUGGGGAGCAAACAGGG